GAUGAACGCUGGCGGCGUGCCUAAUACAUGCAAGUCGAGCGAAUGGAUUAAGAGCUUGCUCUUAUGAAGUUAGCGGCGGACGGGUGAGUAACACGUGGGUAACCUGCCCAUAAGACUGGGAUAACUCCGGGAAACCGGGGCUAAUACCGGAUAACAUUUUGAACCGCAUGGUUCGAAAUUGAAAGGCGGCUUCGGCUGUCACUUAUGGAUGGACCCGCGUCGCAUUAGCUAGUUGGUGAGGUAACGGCUCACCAAGGCAACGAUGCGUAGCCGACCCGAGAGGGUGAUCGGCCACACGGGGACUGGGACACAGCCCAGACUACUACGGGAGGGAGCAGUAGGGAAUCUUCCGCAAUGGUCGAAAGUCUGACGGAGCAACGCCGCGUGAGUGAUGAGGGCUUUCGGGUCGUAAAACUCUGUUGUUAGGGAAGAACAAGUGCUAGUUGAAUAAGCUGACACCUUGACGGUACCUAACCAGAAAGCCACGGCUAACUACGUGCCAGCCGCCGCAGUAA
rnacentral:rRNA from 1 species